rnacentral:tRNA from 1 species
AUCUAGAUAGCUUAUAUAGAGCACAAUACUGAAGAUAUUGGGGAAAUGAAUUAUUUCUAGGUA